rnacentral:rRNA from 1 species
CAAUAGCGUAUAUUAAAGUUGUUGCGGUAAAAAAGCUCGUAGUUGGAUUUCUACCGAAGAUAGCCGGUCGGGUCUUCGACCUUGUAUCUGGUUUUGUCUUUGGUAUCCUCAUAGGGAACGUUUCUGCGCUUUAUUGCGUGGUGCGGUAUCUAUGACUUCUACUUUGAGGAAAUUAGAGUGUUCACGGCAGGCAAACGCCUUGAAUAUAUUAGCAUGGAAUAAUAACAUAGGAUCUUCGUCCUAUUUUGUUGGUUUCUAGGGCUAAGAUAAUGAUUAAUAGGGAUAAUUGGGGGCAUCUGUAUCAACGCGUCAGAGGUGGAAUUCUUGGAUUGCGUUGCGACAAACUACUGCGAAAGCAUUUGCCAAGGAUGUUUUCAUUGA